GGGGAGAUGGUAGAACAAAUAACCAAGUUAGGCUUUAAGAAUUUUUAGUAUUAAUGUUAGUAUGUGUAGAAAAAUAAUGGGAUGGAUGAUGCCCAACCCAUCCUUACCUCAAUAUGAAGUUUGGCACUUUAUCUACCCCGAUAUCUAAUCCUGCCUUACAUGUCAGCUCUAUGAUUAUAGCUCAUAUUCAUACACAUGAUGGAAAAUCACAUACGCUUAC
rnacentral:lncRNA from 1 species